GACGUAGGGGGCGAGCGUUGUCCGGAUUUAUUGGGCGUAAAGCGUGCGUAGGCGGCUGCGCAAGUCGGUUGUGAAACCCCGGGGCUCAACCCCGGAACUGCAUCCGAUACUGCGUGGCUAGAGGUAGGUAGGGGAGAUCGGAAUUCCUGGUGUAGCGGUGAAAUGCGCAGAUAUCAGGAGGAACACCGGUGGCGAAGGCGGUUCUCUGGGCAUUACCUGACGCUGAGGAGCGAAAGUGUGGGGAGCGAACAGG
rnacentral:rRNA from 1 species